CAGAGGAGGACAUCUGUCACACGCCGCCUCCACCGCCACCCACCGCCCCACGCCCCGCUGCCCCCGCCGCGGACGGGCCGGCGGCAGGUGAAGAGUUGCCUGAGGUCAGGAAAACCAACUGGGAAGCCUGCAGGAGAUGCUUGUGCUUCCAGCCCUUGAGAGAAGCAAGAUCCCUGAGAGAAAUCAUGCUGGGACAGUGGCACAAGUUCCAGCGAGUGAACCCCACAAGCAUCUCCAUCCUACAACCAAAGAAGUCUGUCCUGCUCCUCGAGGUCCAGCUGAAAAGCUGUAUGCAGAUACCUAGGCUGCCCUCAGGUCCCAACAGGCUCUUGUGUGGCUGCCACAGCCUGACAGCAGGUACAGGAUAUCUCAGUGCACCAAAGCUCUCGGCUGCCUUCUUACUUAUAAACAUGUGAAAAACAGUGAUCAUCAGGACCAUCAGUAACAACAUCAGGGAGAGGCAGAUGCACAUUUACAUGCAGAGGAGAGUAAUUUAUGCUGAUGUAGGUACAGUAAAAACAAAGCUGGUAUGCAAAAUCCUAGUAGGUCUAGGCAAUCCCAUCCAUGGUGUCCACUAAGAGACCAUUGUUGAGGUGUGAUGCUUCACAGGGUGAAGCUGCAGCCACAAUGCACAAUUUAGGGUGGAAGCACAGAAAUCAAAAUUCUGCUUUCUGACCCUGUGGAAAAUGAGGCAGGGAUGCAAAGAUGCAUUUGCUGUUCUUUCCUCCCUCCUUUUUGAUGAUACAUUCUCUCUCCACUGGUUAUGGAUGUACUGAAGCCAUUCUGCUGAUGGAGGGAUUUAUGCAACUGCUGCCUGCAAGCAUGGCCAGGGCAGGACAGAGCCAAAGGGGUUGGGGCUGCACAUGGAGAACAUUCAGGAACAGCUACUGGCAUGUGCUUUAGUGACAUCAGUUGUGACAACACACCCAGCAUGUGGUUACACUCUACAUGCUCCAGGGGACCAAGCAUGGACACAGCUGGGAAAUGCCACCUGGACUGAGCCCCCCCAAAGAAUAUGCAAGAGCUCCGUAAGCCAAACAAAAACUCCACAACACGUUGCAUAUUUCACUAGAAACGGUUUUACUGUUGCUGGUUUUGCCUUCACCUCCACUGCAAUUUAGUGAUCCAUAAAGAUGCUGAGGCCACACUUCAGGAGAGGACACUCACGUCCUUUAAAUGCACCCUGCUGAGUGGCCCUAAUGAAAUCAGUGGGAGCACCAGUCUAUGCCAAAUGAGGUAAGUAAGCCCUAAAACCUCAAAAAGGAGUUUGCUGAAACCAAGAUAUAUAAAUGCGAAUCUAUUGAUAAUAAACAGAAUCAGAAACUGGACAGCUGAAUGGCUUCGCUGACUGCUUUAAAAUCAAGAUUAAAUCAGAGGUUGUCUAAGAACAAGGCUACCUGCUUCAUUGACAGAGUGUGGUACAUCAGAAAGCAAUUAAAUCAGACGACUUAGCAUUUAUUUUUGUUUAAACUGCAGUCAGUACCAGCCAUUGACCAAUAACAGUAUUUAAAUAGCAAGCAAGCAGUGUCACUGUUGGGCAAGAAAAACGAACCAGCAAAGAUUAGGAAAUACGCUGUAGUGGGCAGACAGCUAAGCACAGGCAUCAGUUAUUUAGGGAUUCAGUCGUGCCUGCUGCCCACAACAACAAAAACAACUCCCUCCGCUGUAUUUUCAGCAAUGAGCUCUCUGCCAACCACAACACAGCAGCUGCAAACUUCACUAAAGAUUUCAGCUUAAUUACUCCAGCAUUCCUCCAAGCACUCACAACAAGGACCGAUCCGUGGCUCUGGAACAGAGCAUCCCAGCAGCCUCACAUCUCCCCAACAAGAGAGCUUAGACGUGAAAAGCUCCAUUCAAGCAGCUGACAAGCUUGAAAGCACCACCCCUGCUAUUCAAUCUCCUUCCAGUUCAGAUAUUCUUGUAGGCCACACACAAUGACAUAUUAUUUCUUCUGGUCUGUGCUGGCAUCCUACAAAGCUACAGAAAGCCUCUCAAGCACACUGCAACAUGUUUGUUGCCUCCUCCUCCUGCUCUCGGUGUUAACCAGGACUACAGCAGCUUUGCACAAGAAGGGAGCCUCCAUUAUUCAGCUGAGAAACAUAUAGAUGCACACAUACAUAUUUUAUUCAUAUACAACAUAUAUAGAUAUCUAUAUCUACUGCAAAACUUCCAUCUCCAGGGAAGGCAAAUAUCAAUACUUUUAUAAUGUAUCAUCGGAUUGCAAUGCAUAAUUUUAUAAAGGAUUGUAUUAUGAUUGUCAUACAAAUAAGUUAUAGACAAGAAAAUCUGGGGCAUACAAAAAAGCAUAGUCAUUCACUCUUAUAGACAAGCUCUUGUUUUAUACCACACAACAGAUCCAAAAUAAUUCUUGGACUCCUGCAAACAUAGGCAGGAAAAGAGCAAAGCCCUUUUGAUUGGCACGGGGAUAAGCUGCUGCUCAAGGAACUCUCUGCUCAUGCUGGUAAUUUCCUCUGCGAUGUUCCCCAUGAUUGAUUUUCACAAGUAGGAGUAAAACAGAAUCAUGCAAGCUGGGACACUGCCUAGAAAAUAAAUCUUUGAAUUCAGCUGACAAAAUGAGUCAAACACCAAUAUCAUCGGGACCACAAUACAGCUUAGGUCGCCUUGCCAAAGAGCAGGAGAAUGUACUCAGGAACCACACUCUUAAAGAAAAGCAGUUACUGUUGACAAAAUGUGUUUUUAAUGGCAGAUAGUGCCAGGCUGGGAGUGCUGGUACAGCCUUAAUGACAUAAGUUAAUGCUGUAUCAACUUAAACCCUACAACGUUCUGGAACAAUAGCUCUGAGUGACAGAAGUCUUCUUCAUACACUAUUGAAAUCAAAUGAAAGGGAAAGGGAAAGGCAAAUAGGUUGCAAACACAUCUGAAAGGAAAUUUAAUGGGUGAAAUUCACUGUUCACUUUCCUGACAACCACUUCUUGACAGUUCAUUGUUCUCAUCUUGCUCAGGGCUACCUUUUGCCUACUGCUAAAUGGCCCUGGUCUUUUACAGCCUCUGAAUAAGCUGCUUCUAGCUACCACUGCCCUUGUUAUUUUAAUAAAGAACCUUCUUCACCAUCACAAGGCUGUUUUCCAUUUAAAAUUACACCGGCUGGCAAAUCAGUACUUAGAAGCAGCAAAACAACUUUACCGAUGAAGAUUAAGGUAUCGUCUGCAUUCUGCUGUGGUCCACUCUUUGUUUUGACUAAACAGUGAUAACUUACACUGCUCUCCUGCAGAGUACUUACAAACAAACAAAACCCCUCCGAGGUCAUCUCCUGAUGUUCAGGGACAGAAAGUUUGCUAACAGUGAGUAGCCAGACUUAACGGAGAAUGGACUAAACAUGACACUUCAUUCACAGCUCUCAGCCUUACUGCAAUAAUUGUCAUUGCAAUUAGAGUUAUAAAUACAUUUACAAGCAAAACGUUCCAACAUUGCAUCACGUUUGUGAUAUACACGGUGCUAUUGGGGUAACAAUAUAUAACAACAUAUAAAGAAAGCUAAAAAUUAAAAACAAUCUGCCAGGCACCUAAAAAGUCACACAACAAUAAUGCCCAAAUAGACAAUUUCCCCCCCCCUUUUCCAUUAUAUCCUGUAAACGUAAUUCCCUUCUCUGCUCCUUCUAAAAUGCAAAUCUAUUUCCCAGUCUCACAGCAUGUGUGUUUUCAUACCUUGCUGGUCCACACAGUGCAAAAGAGAUUUCAACUUGUGCACAGUAAGUCUGCAUCAUGAUGCUUAUAUGCAAGAGGGGGAAAACAGAGAUAAGCCAAAGGGGCAAAUGUGCAUCUCUGCCCCAAUUUUAUACUCUGUGGAUGAAAUUACUGCAGUAGAGGAACUACUAUCUAUUGCUAGAGUGGAGAAAUUCUAUCUGAUUAAAAGGAUGAGAAACAAGGAGGUGGGGGGCAUAAAAACGACUUUUUUUUUUUUUUUUGUUGCAUAUCCAGGUGAACACUUUAAAAAACAGCAGCUGUAAAAGCCAAAGCCACACAUACAAUUUUUCCAGGCAAUUCAUUCUCAAAUCUGCCUUCAUUCUUUUCCAGUAAUUUCACAGAAAAGUUCAUAUACAUCUGGAAUGAAUAAUCCAAAGUUACAAAUAGGGUAUGGAGGCAGAUGACACGGGGGUUUUUUGGUGACAAUUAGUGCCACAUAAAGGAGCUGCAGAAGCACUCCAAGCAACCACGACUUGGAAACCCAAAACUCAAAUCUUUCUCCUCCUUUCAAUGUAAAAUAACCUGGUGAAACAUGGAGCUCUUUUACUGACACGUUUGCAGCCCUUCCCUUGAGCAGGGAAAACCAAGAAAGGCUGGCAGAGCAUGUCAGAGGUUUGGCACACGGAAAGCUGCCAUACAGGUCCAUGCACAGGAAUCCCUGGGUAUAACUCUCAGGACCUACUGGUGAAUUGGAUCAGCAUGUGCAGUUUUUGUCUCUCCUGACAAGACAGAGCCAAGACUGCCAGGCUGACACUAAACUCUUCAGCUCAUGGUGAAACUCUCCAGCUCAUAAUGCCCCGGGCCCACGGAGCAGCUGAGCUCUUACCUGACUGACAGAAAGGCGAACUUCAGUGAACCCAGCUUUUCUCCUCACAGGAUUACAUAUUUCGGUGGAGUUACUCUUUGUCUGUAUCUGUAUUUUCUCCAUCUGAUCAGGCCUAAUACAGACAUCCUCUCUUUGACUUCCAAUAGAAUAAUAUUCAGUAAUAACCUACAAAGCGAGGCUUAUAAAGCGAUCGCUUCGACUGUACAAUCUCUAACAUCAGAAGUUACAACAAUUUCCUCUUUCUAUUCCCUUUUUUCUCACUAUAAAAGUCCAAAUUUACAUGUUUUACAAAGAAAGAUUGGCCCACAGAAUUUUGUGGGAAGAGAGAGAAAUUCUCAGGAGAGAGUUUUCUUCAACAUCCAAGACCUGCUGGUACCCACCCUCUGUGGGAUCUUAUUUUUACUGCUUUCAUAGAUUCCCUACGUUAUACAGGAAGUAUCCCUUUAGUUUUUUCACUCUUUGCUUGCCUAAAGAAAACUUCAAGUAAUGCAGAUGCACACAUCUGUAGCAAGUAACUGCUAAUACCUGAUACAGCCUGAGAGGCUGCCCCACUGCAAAGCACUUCAAGAUUCAACCCAAAUAGAAAAUAUAGGUCUUUUCAGCAAGGAUCUUUUUAGCUUCUGCAUUUUAUUUGCAUGAAAAGCACAUAUAGUAUGUUUUGUGUUGAAUGUAACGGUUUUUCCUUCUGCUCAGUGAAUGGAUCAUAACAAAUUAUCUGUAAACCUCUACAGCCAGCAGAUGCAAGUGUGCUUUCUCUCCCAUUGAGCUGUGUCAGAGGGCCAUGAAAGUACAACAUGUUCUCCUCCUGUCUCUCACAAAUCAUGAAAAUAAAGUGGUACCAGCUGCUUCGGAACAAAUAACAACAGCAUCUGUUUUUCCUCAGACAACUACAACUUGUACACCGCUAAUAGUGUUUUCCCACUUUUUUACCCUAUUGUCAUCUCUCUAUGUAAAAGACUCUCAAAUGUGAUAUGGGUAAUGUAGGAUUGAAGGAGUUUCCAUCACCAUUUAUCAGGGUAAGGUGCCAGGGGGAACAGACUGACUGAAAGAGUCAUAAAUGAAGCUACGCUCAGGUUAAAGAGAAAAAAACCAACCAACCAACCGAAAUCCCUUCUCAGAUCAAAUCCUCUCCAUCCCAAGGGUUUCAUCUACCACAUAUGCCCACUCACACCCUCAGAAGCCAAAAUUUUAUGUUUUUCCCAUUCUGCCACUGCUUUCUGGACUAAAGUCAGCACCAUCCCAACAGCUCCUCACAGCCACUCCAACUCCAGGACAGGCAGCAGCCAGCACUUGGCAUCACAUUCUGCAGUUCUUAGCACAUCCCGAGAAUAAAAGGAGAAGAAUGAAUCAGCUCUUUUAGAGUUAUAGCAUAUCUUGGCCAUUAGCAGAACAAAACUACAGGAGACAGUGUUGAUUAAUGCAUCCCUUCUUUUUCUGCUUCUCAGUUAAGCUUACAAAGGCUUGUCUGUCAACUCCUGUUCUUUCAAAUCCCAGCAUACGUGGGGUUUACUAUGAUAUAAUUAUCAAAAUGCAAUUCAAAAAGGUGUUUUCUUGCUCUUCAACAUCAAGUGUAUUUGUAGAGGACAUUAUAGCUCCGGGAAGAGGGGAAAAUAAUAAUAAAUCUGCAACAGCAAGGACAGCAAAUAACAGCAUUCUCAUAAGCACUAACACUUUUAUUUUCCCUACUAAGGAUGAGAUAAAGUUGCACUGUAGGUAUUCAAAGGAGCUUGAAGAAAGGGAAGAGCAAAAGAUUUCUUCUUUCUCUCUCAAAAAGACAAGAGGUGCCUCUGAUUUUAGGGGAUCAGAGUGGGUUGCAGCAUGACUGCUGUUCACCCAGCCUGAAAUGGAAAGCAUUGCAAUACCCAUUUAUUUCCCUUCCAGCUACAUCACCUGGGAGCUGAAAGCCUGUUACAUGCUGUGACCUCUCCUUGUCUUCUUCCAGGCAGGGCUGAGGCUGGUGGCAGAGGAGAUUAGGCUCUGAGCUCCACUGGCUCCAACUGUGUCAUUAGGAUGACUCAUACUGAGGGAGAACUGUGGUUUUUGGUGACUCACAUGAUGGCUAGUUUGGAACUUAAGCCCUGUGGUUCAAUCCUUAGCCUGCAAUCCCUUCAAUAAUCUUUUAAUAUGAAGUUUAGUUCAUAUAUAGGGCCAGCAGAGCUCCCUUCACUAAAAUUAAUUGGAAAUGGAUUGUGAAAAGCCACUCACAUUAAUCACUGUGAACGUUAAAAAGAAAGUAUACUUCUUGGGGUGUUUUUUUUUUUUUCAGUUUAUCUUUUUAAAGCAUACCAGAAGGCCUGCUUACCAAAGCCAGCACAGUGCAGUCAGAACCAGCAAAGGCUUUUCAGAAACCUUUGUAAGCACACAGCAUCCCUGCAGCACAGAGGAAACAAACAUCCCGAUUUUGCCCAGGAUUUUUCUCAGGCAGAAAAUAGCCCUUCGUGCAACACAGUCAUCUUCAUCCCCCACCCCAGCCUCACCUUCCUCCCUCCUGGAAACACAGCUGGAUGGUUUAUAAAAUGUGUGGAAUAUGCCAUUCUGAUUAUUGAUCCCCUGCAGGUAGACCAUGAGAGGCCUCUCUGAAGAAUAAGGAAGAAGAAUUAAAGAAAAAAAGAUAGGCUGAUGUCAACUUUUCUGUCUCCUCAGAUGGCAUGGUGAGAAGCAGGAACAGAGAGCAGACUGGACAACAGGCCAAAUAAAGUUGUUCUUCUGGCUUGGGUGGUGCUGGCACCAAGCCCAGAUCUCAUUCUCCUGACAUCUCCUUUCUGUCCUAUGGCAUCUUUCAUCCGAGGAAAAGCACCUCCUGCACCACCACUGAGCCAGUUCAGGGUUCCAGCUGGUACAUAUGGGCUAAAGUUUGGCAUUUGCUUCAGCACUUCGCUCCACAUCGUCCUCCACCACGACAAACAAAGAGAUUGUGGUGCAAAGGAACUGGCUCAAAAAGUGCAUGUCAUAGCUGAUCCCAAAAUGAUCCCCAAUGCAUCAGUAGAGCUGGUAAGAUUUUGGAGCCUUCCAUGGCCUUACACAGAACAGCUGUCCACCCACAGGGGCCGUGAGACCACGUCAGAUUAAAAGUUUGAGCUUUGCAAUAGAUCUUUGCUGUCCACUUUUAGUUAAAUUGGCAUUAUCUUAUUAUUUCAAUCCAUAAGUUUCCCGAUAUUACCAGUAAAUGGUUUCAUCCUUCGCAUGACAGUUAUUUCAGUUCUGAAUUGCUCCCAAUCAGUCGGCUUAAUUCCAUCAAUAACAACCUAAUAAACGAACUUUAAUCUUGCAGUAACGGAUACUAAUGGCAGCUUACUCUGGAGUAGCCUUUAAUUGAAGCAAUUUAGCCUCAGUACUGGUCACAGCCGAGUGACAGUCCACACCACGGACGUUUUCCAGGUGAGAUCCUGUAGCCCAAGCCUUCAGAGCAAGCCAUGUAAGUGGAAAGAAAUUGUAUUUGUGGACUGAAGUGGCAAACUACUGCCAGAGGUUUCUGAAAGAUUUCUUUAGCCAUCAGCAGGAAAAAUGCUCCACCAGUUGGGAGCAUUUUGCUCCACAGUUGUUUUUGGGUUGUUUGUUUUGUUUUUUUUUAAUAUAGACAGCUUGUUUUAAACAAAUCAUUAAUUCUAUAAUUUUUUUUUCAGUGAAGUUUGGGGAUCAGAAAACAAAAUAGUUCUUUAUCACAGAUGCCAGCACAGAUCUAAGAAAGGAUACAAGAGAAUAAAAUGUCUCUGUUCCCUGAUUAUUCCCCUGGGUUUCACCCAUUCCUCAAAAGAGGUGGUGUUUUCAAACAGGUCCGAUUUCAAAGAGAUUCAAGAAUUAACCACUGCCCUUUUUUCUAGCCCUCUCUCAAGAAUUCUUCAUAUAACAGACAACGUCACGGUUUAUCAUUGUUCUUUUUUAAGGUCCGAGGUUGUUUUUUUUAUUUCCUCCUUCAUCUUCAAGGUUAUUAAUUCCCCUUUUCCUACUACCCAUUUUAAAGACCUCUAAUGAAUGUGACACUGGAAAUGAAGAGUGCAGAUUGCCAGGGUGGUCUGGGCAGGCUUCAGCAGCCCAAGCGAGCGACUGCUCCGAGGCGACUCGAGUGCUGCCAGCACAAAUGCUCCACGAGCCUGGGAGAAGACAGAUGCUGCCAUUUUAUUACUGUCUUCUAUAAAUGAGGCCUCUCAUUAAAUCCAGGAAGAAAACAGGGACUGGUACAACGUAAAAAAUUGAAAAGACAUGGGAGCAUUUUGAGGAAAGCAAUUUACAGUGAAAAUAGAGUCGCUGUAGAUGUAAAACCACAGUCAGACUUCAGAUGACGUAGAGAAAAACCUUAAUGCUUUCCUCAAAGAUGCAUGUAUCAAAAUUUUCUCCACUGGUGCCAUAUUUAACCAGUGUUAAGUGAUCAGACUGUAAAAUGCUUAAUCUAUUAACUUCUCUGAGGCAUUUUCUAGCCAGAGAAAGAAACACUGAGCUGUAACAGCAGCUAUCACAUUUUUUAACUGAUAAAUUGAAUUAAUUACUGCAGACAUUUAAAUUUCAUAGCAUAAGAUAAGGACAGAAAUGUUAACAUCCAGAUAUUUCUAUCACCAAAGGGAAGUGCUAAAUUUUUCAAGUCAAUAUUCCCAUGGCAACUUUGUUACCGCCAACAACGGAACAUGAGACAAUGACACAGAUUCAGUGUGUAAGAUAUGAGGGAGAAAGAGAGUAUCUAAAUGCUUGCAAUUUUUUAAUUCAGAGAAGGUCAGAAAAAUGACAGAUGUGCCCCUACAGUGAAGACAGCACGUGCUGUGUAAUGGGAACCCCUUUGCAUCCAUUGACAUGCCCGGGAAAAGGUUACUUGAAGGUUAUGAAAUAAUGGCUUCAAUUAGAUUUCUAAACUGGAGAAGACAACCAUCUAUGUGGAAUGGUUGAGGAGCAGGGUAAUCUCACAUGACACCAGAAUGCAGGCUGGACAAUGCAUCUCCUCAGUUUUAGGAUGCAAAACUACUUGAACCUCUUGCCCUCUUGUUAUUCCCACUGACAGAGUCCUGCCUGUGCCUAUAGACUUUAGCAAUGGAAAAAGAAAAUCAGGAGUAACUCAAUGCAUUACAACAACCUUCUUCACGUGGAUCUUUAAAACUUGCAAGAACAUUUCAGGGAAUUUUAGAAAACAAUAAUUAAAACUAUAUUAUUCAUAGGCAUUUUCAAAUUUUUUUCUUUUGGUCUAAUAUUUCUGUUUCUUCCAGUUUUCUACUCCAAGCAGACUUUGCUCUUAAUAAAAGCCUUUUGAUCUUCUGCCUUAUAACCAAAUUAACUUUCCCUUUCCCACAUUUCUAUAAAUCCAUUUCCCCUAGAGACUCAAACAUAAUUACCUCAAGCUGUAAACUUGAGAUAUUUCAGCAACAAAAUCGUUAAGUAAAUUCAUAGUCUGGGGAUGGGUGCAUGUACCUACUUAAAAAAAUGUUUGUGUUUCAGCAAACACAUAUGCAGGAAAGAUCACAAAAAUUGCAGCAUUUAUUCCCUGUCUUGAGGUAUCUGCUUAUGCCUCUAUAUACAACAGGUAAUUUUUUCAGCAGCCAAAGCAGGUUUUUAUUUUUACUAUUAAAGAACAAUAACAAGACAAUAGUAGGUUAAAUUCAGAUAAAUCCUUGAAGAAAUUUGAUAGAAAAUGAGAAUUGUCUCUGAAAUUUUGGAAAGAUUUACAUAAUGUGUGGGAACAGCCUUCCACAAGUUCCGACUGAAGAGACAAACCCACACAUGACGCAGGGAAAAAAAGUGACAGAAGUCACACAGAACAAAUUGUACCCAAAUGUGACCAUUUCCUCCUUGAGUAGAGGGAAAGGGGAGAAAUAAGAUUCCCAUUUGAUGUGGUUCCCUGUGGUGAGGAACUCCAGUCAACACAGAUCCCCAGGGUUCCCGCACCGAUACCACAGAAAUUAAAUGAGACACUGGUUUCUUCCUGUCCCUGCCAAUCUGCCAUCAGCACAGCUACACCGAGAUCUGGGGCCACCAAGCAUCUGACAUUAGCUUUGCACACAAGGAAAAACAAGGUCAAGUAACCUGAGAUUCCCACAGCAUCUUAUGAACCACCUCAUGAGGAUAUGAACGGCUUGGAAAAGCCAAUACUGUCUGCCAUGGUUUGAAAUUGGCCCCCCAGUCUGAGAAAGGACUCAAAGCUACUUUCUUGGACUUUGUGAGAAGAAAAACUGCAGUAAACAGCUGAAGGUUGGUUAGGGAGUGUUUCAGGGGCCCAGAACACUCCCACAAGACAGAGACUGAGUUACAUAUCAGCCUUGAAAGGCUGCUCCUGGACUGAAGUUAAAGGGAGGAGCUCAAAGGACUGAUAGAAAUGUUUUAUAUAUAUAUAUGUAUAGUUGCU